rnacentral:rRNA from 1 species
CAAUAGCGUAUAUUAAAGUUGUUGCGGUAAAAAAGCUCGUAGUUGGAUUUCUACCGAAGAUAGCCGGUCGGGUCUUCGACCUUGUAUCUGGUUUUGUCUUUGGUAUCCUCAUAGGGAACGUUUCUGCGCUUUAUUGCGAGGUGCGGUAUCUAUGACUUUUACUUUGAGGAAAUUAGAGUGUUCACGGCAGGCAAACGCCUUGAAUAUAUUAGCAUGGAAUAAUAACAUAGGAUCUUCGUCCUAUUUUGUUGGUUUCUAGGGCUAAGAUAAUGAUUAAUAGGGAUAAUUGGGGGCAUCUGUAUCAACGCGUCAGAGGUGGAAUUCUUGGAUUGCGUUGCGACAAACUACUGCGAAAGCAUUUGCCAAGGAUGUUUUCAUUGA